rnacentral:rRNA from 1 species
UACGUAGGUGGCUAGCGUUGUCCGGAUUUACUGGGCGUAAAGAGCGCGCAGGCGGUCGUUCAAGUCGAGUGUGAAAGCCCCCGGCUCAACUGGGGAGGGUCACUCGAUACUGAUCGACUCGAAGGCAGGAGAGGGAAGCGGAAUUCCCGGUGUAGUGGUGAAAUGCGUAGAUAUCGGGAGGAACACCUGUGGCGAAAGCGGCUCACUGGACCACAACUGACGCUGAGGCGCGAAAGCUAGGGGAGCAAACAGG